UCAAGAGGAGAUUGGCUGAUGCUGCUUUUGGAACAAAGAGACAUAAUGAAAUGGUAGAUUUUGAUUUCUGUUUAGCACUUAUUUUCUACUAUGCUAAUAACAAGUAAUUACAUGACAAACUCAUUAUUUCAGUUUGACUUUUUGGAUGUUGAAAAUUUAGAAGUGACACAUGAAUCUCAGCUUAGAGAUGAAAUUUUACAUAAUAUACAAUUCCACAUGUUUAAGGUGCCACUAUUGCACUUAUUGUUAACGUGUAUUUUUUUAAAGGAUGAUUUUUCUAGGUCUGAGAUAUGUUAUAUUUAUGAAAACAUAAUUAGAUGAUAUGACACCCUUCAUGGUUUUCUAGUUAAAUAUGAUUUCAUAUGACCACAUUUAAUCUUGGAGUAAAUAAUAUCCUUCAUGGUUUUAAAGAUGAUACCCUUCAUGGUUUUCUAAUCAACUAGUGGGGCUGAUUCUGAUGUAACUUUUAAAGAUGAAUUUGUUGGAUUGUUGAAUUGCUCUGAUCAUUAUUCAGCAUAGAGCUUCCUAUGCUAUCAAAGUAUUGUUCAUAUUUAUGGUAUUCAUGGGUUGAUAUUGUUUGUUGGUUGGAUGGGAGUUGAACUCUUUUAUAUAGCUUAACAACUCUUUUUCUGCAGUGUGUUAUCUUUCCUUGAUAAUUCUUCUCAUUACUGAUUUAGAGUUAAUGUUCCACUGGUCUAGAGUUUUAUCUGUAGAAGUACUUUCUCAUGUUAGUUUUGCAGUGAAGGACAAUCUUGGAUAGAGUUCAUUAUGCAGAAGUUGAAGGGCAAAAGUCUAAACUGUGAAUUACUAUGGCAGCAAAAGCACGUAAACUAUAUUCUGUUUUGUAGAUAUCAAACUUCAAUGCAAAUGUGACUUUUGCUCUUGAAGAGUUCAGGGAACUGCAUGAUCUAAUAAAAGGUUAACCGAUGGUUGUCAAGUUGUGGUUAUAAGCUUCGGUAUGAGAUUCGAAUAUUCUUCGGAGGACUUGACGAUAAUGAAGCGCUUGCUUAUGGUAUGAGAAUAGUCUAACAUCCUGACAUUGUGCUAACUGUUGUUAAAUUUGUGUCUCCACCCGGAACAACAUUAUCAUUCGGUGCUAAGUUAGUCGGUGUUGCAUCGGUAGAAUAUACUAUGUUAGGAAGAAUGUAAAUAGGUUAACAGUUGAUUGUAUAUUAUCAAAGAAUGUAAAUAGGUUAACUGGUGAUUGUAUGUUAUCAUUUCAUCAUUAAUUUUUUUACUGAGGUGCUUUUGAAUUUUCAUUUGUAUCAUAUUUCCAAACAAUGAUAUUAUUAUUAUGAUUAUUAUUAUUA